AAGGGUCCCUUUGGUUGGGCUUUUGAACCUGCUUUUGCUUUUGUAAAAGCCAAAAGCCAACCAAAGGGCCCAAAAGCCACAAGUGCUUUUGCCCAAAAGCAGCUUUUCUCGUAGUACAAAUCCAAAAGCACCUCACCCCCUGCUUUCACUGACUUUUGGGAUCCGUUCAGUUUUUUUUUCCAAAAGCCACGAGUGACCAACCAAAUGACUUUUGGGUUUCUCAAAGCCCACAUCCCACAGCAGCUUUUCAAAAGCUCAAAGCUCACAGUAGCUUUUCCAAAAGUCACAGCCCAACCAAACACACCCUAA
rnacentral:lncRNA from 1 species